UAAUUAUUCGUAAGUUGUUUCCUUGCAACCAUAGGUUCUACAAUCAAAUGAAGUCGCGGUUUCUCAUAAAAUGCAUACCACACUCGAUUGGAAGGAGGUGGCUUUAUUAAAAGUCUAACUUUUCCACUGACAUGAGUUAAUCGAAUUACUAAAGCCAAAGGAACAGUCUUAGAGGGAAAAUGUGACCCAAAUUUAAUGUUUGCAGUUGUUUCUGCCUUAAAACUGCAAUCGCCUUCGUACCAAAUAUCGGCGCUUACGAUUAAUUCACCACCGUUAGAAAGAGAUUCGAACUUUAAACCAUUGACAGUAGGGAUUGCUUCUCCAACGUCAACGUCAAUGACUUUGACAUCUGUCAUUAUACCUGGUGUUUUUAUCCUUGACAGCUUCUUCGUUAGCUUUUCAACAACUAAGCUCUUGAAGCCUUCUGUUUUAUGGAUACCAAGAAAAAUUCUGCCUAUAAAUGCAUUUAACCAAUCUGUGUCUGGUGAAGAAAGAGCAGUAAGAUUGUGAUGGACAGAAGCAUAAUCAAAGUCAAUUGGGGCCUCAAGUGGUUUUAUAGCAGGUGAUAUUUUGGAGUAAGAUAAUAAAGCAUAAUCCAAUCUUCUUUGUUUGAAGGAGUACGUCCAUAAACAUAUAAGUCCUUGUUUAACAAGCUUUUGGUAGAGGAUUCUUUUUUGUGAGAAACUGCAGGAUACUUCAAGAAAAUUGCGUUCCGGUUACUAAAUAAUUCAUUUUCGGUAACCGUUCCUGGAUAAAAGACAACCAAAUACUCAUGUAGGUUGAUUACAUGAAGAAGUUCAGACGUUUUUACGGGGUCGAAAAGAUGUAGUUUACCAGCUUGUACAGUUGCAUAAUAUACAUCUUUGGGGUUUCUUAUGACAUAUUGAUUAUUGAUUCCGGAAGGAGAAAUUGUUUUACGGUCAGUAACUGCGUUAUCAGACGAAGAUUUUGGAAGCUGAUCUUGAGGUAUUUCCUGCACUUUGACGGAACCAGACUUUCCUUGAAGAAAUUUAGUGGUAACCCGGAUCCACCCUUGAAUCCUAAUAUCUUUAUCAAGUUUAGUCAGGCAAUCAUUAUUGGGCUCAAUAAUUCUUAGUUCUUCAGAUUUGUGUGUUGGUCUGGUGAGUAGGUAAAUAAAUAAUAUGAAAGGGAGGAAUGUAACACCUCCCAA